rnacentral:lncRNA from 1 species
GAUCGGCAACCAUAUGUAACUACUCAAAUCUGGAUAAAUAGCACAUUCCAAUUAACUGCCAAUCUCAACAGCUGUUAAUUUGUGUGAUAUGCAUCCAAGGCUCUCAUGCUUUUAGGUUUAUCGGUACUUUCUCUGAAAAAUUAGUAUUGUUUUCAAGCAUGUUAUAGUUGCUUCAGAAAUCGCUGAAUGAAUCAGAUGCGGUCACCAGAAAAUAGAGUUUGUUGUGCAUCAGAUUCAUCACACUGAGGGUUGGCAACUAGCCACACCAAAUUUGGCUUUGCUUUUCCAAAAGACUCUAUAACUUCUUACACCAAAUUCUGUUUCUAUCGCACUUUGACAUGGAAGAACAGAGGUCGCAAGAACAAAUGAAAUAUGCAUACGGAAUCAAAAUCGGCCUAAAUAUUCCUCGGAUAAAAAAGGUAUGAACUGUUAUCGUGACUAUCUAUAUUAUUGAUCAACUCCUUAAGUUUCUUUAACUAUUCAAAACUAUAACAUAUUAUUUGUGUACAUUCUAAUGAUGAAAAUAAAAAUAUGUACGAUAUGCAGUCCCUUUGUUCCAAUACUAUUGUCCUCUGUUCUUUUGUUUUGCUUAAAUUAGUUUUUUCUAACGUACAUUGUGUUGACAAUAAAUCACUGCCAGAUAACAAAUAUGGUCGCCUCGGUUAAACUAUUAUCGUGAAGUUUGUUAUUAAGUUCGUUAUGACUAAAAUAAUGAAACUUGUCUCAUAUAUGAAAUGAUUAUGUGUAGUAUAAGUAUUUCUCUUACUGUUCUUAAAGUUUGCUUCACAAUGAUGCACUAAUUACUCUAUAUAUAUAUAUGCAAUUUAUUAGCAAUAUGAUAUAUCCUAAUAAUAAAUCCGUUUUUAGGAUGAUCGUAUAUAUGCCUCAUUUGGAAAAUAUAUAUGUUUUUAGGACCAAAAUAUAAGAACUCUGACUUAUAUCGCAUGAACUAAUUUGUUGUCGGACCAGACAGCAAAUUAUAAAAACUAAGAAAACAAUCUGAGACUGACAUUAAAACAUAUGAUAAUUUUCAAGGAAACAAUCUAGGACAAUAAUUCUCAUUUCAAAUAAGUGACAUACAUAUGCAUCAUAUUUCAUUAUCAAUAUUUAAGGCCAUUCUUCUAAUUUUUCUCAUGUACUGUAGGGUUAAUUCCCAUACAUGAAGAUCUGGAUAGCAACUUAUCUACUUAUGUUGAUAAAAAAAAUACUACGCACAGGUGCAGAAGUCACUCCUUAUACUUUUUUUGUUAUUUAUGUUUGUGCAAAUAUGCAUCUUCAAAUGAUUGAGUUGCAGGUCUUCAAUCUCAAUAUUUAAGUCUAUCAUGUUUAUUUCUCUCAUGUAUUGUAGGUUCAGUUCUCACACAUGAAGAUAUGAAUGCUAAGAGAUCUGCUCAUUUUGAUUACAAAAAAAUUUACAAAGCGCGAUUAGGAUGCUAGAUAAGUAAUGCUUAAAAAAAAUCUCAUAGCGGGAGCUUAGUGCACCGGGUUGUCCUUUUUAUAGUAUUUACUAAUAAAGUUUUGGAACAAUACAACAAUAUCUUGCAGAUAAAUUGAUGAUAAUAUCUAGAAUUGCUUUAGCUUUUUAGAUAUAUUAGUGUUCAUUAUAUAUCUAUUUUUACUGUAUUAUAGUUGUAAAUGAAUUGAUGAUAAUCAUUUAAAAUAUGAGAUUUUCUUAUAAUAGAUAUAAGAAAAGUCAUGAGGCUAGCAUCACAAUUGAGAAUUGAUGGAGCUUGGAAUUGUGCUACUUAUUGGAAGGUAUAAGAUUGCUUCAUCAGACUUAAUAGUUAUUAUUAAGUCUUACCUAUAUUUUCACAAUUAGCACUCGUGUACUCCUUAUUGUUUGACCUAAAUCAGAUAUAUGUUUCUGAAGUUUUUUAUAAUAAAAGUUUGAGAAACAUUACAAAAGUUACUACAAGUUGAAUCCUUUUUCAUUUUAAAUAUUAAUAUAACGCAUUUGAUAGUUUGGUCAAAGAUCACAUAUUUACUUUUUUAAAAAAAACAUACCAAAACUAAUAAUUUCUAGGGAAUAUUAUCAACAAUUAUUUGUUUGGGAUCUGUCUGACUAUGUAAUUGGUGCAAUUUCCUAUACAAACACUCAGAAAGUUUAGUAUUGAAUGACUCUUAUGUUCCUCCUAAUUACAUGUAUUUUGUGCAUUUACUGUUGGACUAUUUGCAAACCGAUACGACUAACAAAGUUGGCUAUAAAGUAAUUUAAAGAGGGGCUUUUAUAAGUUUUAUUCCUAAUGCAUUGAUUGGUGGCUAAGCUCAUGAAGUCAAACUCAUUAAGAUUAUAUUAUCGAUUUUCAUAUCUUUAUGUAUCCUCACUAAAAUAAUUAUAUCUUUCUCCAUACAAGUCAAAAUUAUGAUUUCCUUGUGCCGUUGGAAAUGUAGCCUUUGGUCCAAAUUCUUUGAAUAUUUAUACAAAUACUCUUUUAAACUCAAUUUUAGAUUUCUCUCAUUAUGCAUUUAUAACUUUGUGCGACUAAAAAAUAAUACAGCUUGUUGCAGGUACGUCGAAACUAUGUUCUACUUAUGCCAUUGGAAAGAGGACUUCUUCAACUACAUUAUAUACACAAAUUAGGUUAAGAUUCUCUGUACAUUUAUACAGAUAUUUUUUUGAAC